rnacentral:lncRNA from 1 species
GUCUUGCUGCGCAGUCACUCAAGCAAACGGCAGCAAAUGCAAACGCUCCAACGGCCAAAGCAAAUGAGACCCAUGAAGACGCCCCCGCCCCACAUGCUGGCGCCCCCCCAGGCACGGAGGUCUCGGGGUCAUCACUCACCAGCGAAGCCUCCGCACUCCAGAAGAAACAACAGGAGGAACGUGGGUGUUCUUCAAGGACGGCUCAACUAUGAGCGAAACUGUCAUCUUGCAUAGGUGGCCACGUAGGUGGCCAUAACCCCACAUCCCUUCACUGACACAUGGAAUAACACACUCAGAGUGCCCCGUACGGAUCUUUAGACUGAAUCCCUAAGAUUUCACAAGGAAGAAUGAAACACAGCUGAAGGAAUUCUGGCAUUGAAAUGAAUUUGAUGUGGCUGUAUCUAACGCCAUGUUCGCUUGGGAAAAUAUACUGCCUCUAUUGCAGUACAAUUAAUAAGAGUUUAAUGAUGAAACACUGGAAAUAUAUCACAGUUUUAUCUCUCUCUGAUCUUCCUCUAGCCCACGCCGUCCAUGUCCAACUUAUUGAAGAGCAUUGAGAUAACUGGCUUUGAAUCAUCAGACAGGUCACUCUGGAGAGCGGCUUAAAGUCUUUGCACCUCUUUCACAAAGAGCUCCUGGCAUCUAGCAGGCAGCAGCCAGUGAUGCUCCUAAAACCCUGCAAUACACAAGACGGUGCCCAUGAAGAGGAAUUAUGCAGCCCGGACGUCAGGAGAGCUGAGGAGAAAAGUGGCAUAUUGAAAAGGGCCCUGCACUCUGUCGCUGAUCUGUGUGAUGCCAGACUCUGUGGGGCCCAGCUUCCUCAUCCUGAAAUGCAGAAUAGUCAAGCCCACUUCCAGGGUGAGUGGACAGUUCCACGAUGCACGUGGAAUAUGAGAAAUGCACAAAUAUCCACUUCCCCUCUCAAGUGGCGAUGACAUGUGAGCUAAAAGCCCUGCCACAAUUCUAUUCUUCCAGCUCAGCCCUGAGAUGUCCUGUUAGCAAUGAUUUAUUCACCUCAAAUUUCAACAUCCAGUUUCAUUACCAUCAAAUUUAAGAAAACAUAAAAGAUCUUCAAAUUCCUUCUUUUCCAAUCAAGUCACGGGAAGUGAGAGGAUAAUAGAGUUCUGCAGAAGAGAUUUCCAAUUACAGAAGCCACAAACCACCACAGCAUAUUAAACCUGCAGUGACUGGGCAGCAACGCGCUGGGCAGAGCACCAGCCUGAGUCAUCCUGCCUUUCUGUCCAUCUCCCAUGCCUGGAGUCCAGGAACCACGCCUGACUUCUGCCAAGCGGACAACUGCUCUGAACCUCUGCCCUGGCGCAAAUGCCAUCCACGAGGAUACAGCACCAGCCAGGUCCAAGUCAGGAAAUGAGUGAGUUACUAGAAAUAGAGGCCGAAUGAAAGGCUUACGGCUAAAGACAGCAUCCGUUUAGUUCCCCUCAAUGCCUGUCUGAGGACUGCUGACCAGGUGCUGAGACUGUUAAUGCAUACAGGACGGAGGCAAAAGAAAGACGUGUCUUACUCUCUUCCUCGAGGAGCUGACACAUGCAUCUGGGAGGCAAGAAACAUGCAGGAUGGUUUAUAAAAGCAAUGACAGUGCCUCAGCCAGGGCUGCUUCCAAUGACAAUUAAUGCAAUCAUAUUACACGAAUGGUAUUAGAAGUGGCUGACACAUAAACUACUUACUAUCCAUGGUGUAAAGCGCUGUUCUAGGCGCCUAACAUACAGAUGAACUUAUUCAAAUUCUAUCCAUGGUGUAAAGCCCUGUUCUAGGCACCUAACACACAGAUGAACUUAUUCAAUCCUUACAACAGUCCUGUGUGGUGCGUUACUCAUCUUUUAUGCCCAAUUUAAUGAUGAAGAAACAGAGGAGUGGAACUUGCCCCAGGCCAGGCAGUGGUAACCCUCAGAGCCUGGGUGCCGAGUCCGGCUCCUACAUACACCAGCAAAGCAGAGAAAGAGAAUGCAAGAGUGGAGCGGUUGUCUGGGGUGAUCCCAGGAACAGGUGCCUUCAGAUGGCUUCUAAUCCUCAUUGGGUGUGACAGCUCCCCGUGCUCCCUGUAGCAACCAGAGGGUGAUAAAAGACAGCUUUUCUUCUUUUGUAAAAUUGACUUUUCAGCAUUUUAUUUUAAGCAAAUGAAACACAAAAGAAAUGUGACUUGUUACUUAAGUAUAGAUGCUUUAAAUAGAAGAUAAAGGAGAGUGGAAUGCCCCAACCUAUUUUAAGUUCAUUUUCCACCUCACUAUUUUGAAAGCAUGAAUGGUAAGAUAAACAGUGAGAAGUCCUGGAGGGUAUUAAGGUGGUGACGAGAUGGUGCAACCCCACCUGCCCAGGGAGAGCAAGGGUUUGGCUGGGAUGAAUCACGCCGUGUGACUGCUGCCGACCUUCGGGGAACUGCUGAGAACUUGUCAGAGCCAGGCACCGUGGGACAUCACCUCCAUUUUCUACCUGCCUUCAGAGUCGGCCACUCUGAAGGGCAGUGCUGAGGACACUGAGAGAGAACUCUCAGGGAAAGACUAGGGCUCAAUUCGAGGAAGACCUUUCCAAUUGUCAUAAAUAUCCGAAGACCUGUGGGAGAAAAGCUGCCUAGGGACAGUGUUAGUCACCCCGAGAAAUGGCCAAUGGGGGCUGGACCGCAACUGGGGAGGAUGCUGCUGAACUCAGGUCUGAGGGCAACUGCGUGAAGAAGCCCUAAGGCCCCCAUCACUCUGAGAUUUCAGGGCUCAUACGUUCUCUGCACACUCGGCACCUCCUCAGGCUGCAGCGGCUGCCUCUGCACGCCCCAGGACGGCGUCUUCCCGCCAGGCUUGUGCCUUGCGCCUCGCGCCUCCAAGUCUCUACUGUGGAUCCGUGAGAGCAUCAGAGAACCACGGCAUUUUCCUACAUCACUGCUGUGUGCUUUGCACAGAUGCAAAAUGUUAAAAGAGUUCAGAGGCUGCAGGACUUGGCAGGGCUAGGGUAAGUUGGAAAAGCCUUCCUAAGAGCCUAGAUAUUUGGACAGGGCGUGCAAGGUGGGUGUGAUUUAGAUGUGAGAAUGGAGUUUCAUGCAUUCCACCUAAAGGAAUGUAGCAGAAUGGGACGUCCUGUAAGAUACAGGCACAUCGAGAAUUUACACUGGAGGCCAAAUGAAGUAGACAGGGAAACAAGGGGAAGGAAUUCUUGGUGCAAAACCAACUGUGAGGGGCUGAAAUGUGGCCCCCAGAUUCCUAACCCCCAGGACCUCAGAAUGUGACUGCAUGUGAAGAUAGGGUUUCAUCAAACAGGACUGGGGUCCUUACAGGAAGGGGUGAUCACGACACAGACACACACACAGAGGGAUGACCAUGUGAGGUCACAGCAAGAAGACAGCGUCUGCCAGCCAAGGGGAGGCCUUGGGAAUCCAGCCCUGCCCACAUCUCCAUCUGGGACUUCUGGCUUCCAGGACUAUGAGAGAAUAAAUGUUGUUGAAACCACACUAUCUGUGGAAUUUUGUAAUGACAGCCCCAGCAGAGGAACACCAGCCUUGAAAGCUUUGAUCAAAAGCUGUCCAUUAUUUUAUAACAUAGAACUGUGGAAUUCCAAUGUGGAUUUAGGGUUCUGCAUUCUCUGCUGUGCUGUAAGCUCCAAGCAGGAAGGGGCUGUGUGUGCGGGAACUAGCUCAGUGUCUACCUGUGUCCCACUCCGGGCACCGGGCGUCACGUGCACAGAGUUGAGGGUGACACCUAGUAUGUGCGGAGGACCUGCGUUUGGCACAGGAACGGACGAUCAGUUGUGGAUGCUGUAUUACAGGAAGACGCCACUUAGAGCCAUCGCAGUCAAUUUGACCUUUGUGCUGGGAGAGCAUCAGGAAUAGAUGGUUCCAGGCUAAGUAAAAGUUUACCUACAUGCUGCAGAGAUGCCUUGGAUUUCAAGCCAGCACGGGCUGCUGCGGCUGUAUUUCUGGAGUCAGCAGAUAAUGAAUUAUUAGAUCACCAGCUAAUGAGGUAACGCUGUAGCAUACCACAUGCUUUAUGCCAAAAAUAAAAAAUUGAUAUACGGCACCAGACGCACAAAAAGACUCAUAAACAUCUUAGUCAUCUUGAAAGAUUUGCCUUUAUCCAUUUUUAAUUAUUAAUCCUCCCCAAAUAGGCCCAUGUUUAAUAAAUGGAGGUCAGGCUUGAUGGUAUAUUCUAUAAAUAUUUACUGUGAUAGACCUCAUUGUAUUUCUACAUUUUUCAGAGCACAGCAUAGGGGAGAGCUUUGCCCACAGCUCCCCGUGUGGCCACACAACUUGCACACAUACAUACAUGCACACACACAUACCCACACACAUGCACAUAUGCACAUGCACCCAUACACAUAUAUACACACGCAUGCACACACACAUGCAUGCACACACACAGCUAUGCACAUGCACAUACACAUAAUACACACACAUACACACAUACCUGCACACACGCACACACAUGCUCACACAUACAUGCAUACACACCUGCACACAGAUAUAUGGACACACACGUACACACACGUGCACAUACACACACACAUGCACACGUAUGUGCACUACAAAUACAUACACAUGCAUACACGCACAUGCCUACAUACAUACAAUCAGCACUCAACACAACAGCAACACAGGAGGCCGCCGUGAUAGGUAUGCACGUUAAAAUGUGAAAGCAGAGUCAAUCCCCAAAAUAAAACCAAUCAGUCCCCAUCUGGUGACUGAGGAGGGAGGUGAAUCCUGACGGCAAAGCCUGUGCUGGCUCCAUGCCAGGCACUAAAGAUCAUCCGGAACAACUGAGCUUGUUCGGGUAUCUGACUUCUCUGCCCCCUCUUCUCUCUCUUACCAGUUUAUAUAUGAUUUAUGUCUAGAUAAAGGCUAAAUAACUUGCUAUUUGUGAUACAAUCUUGAUAUUUAAUCCAAAUACACCGUAAAUACACAACAGAGUGAUUUUCUGAACUGCAGUGAAGGACGUGCUGCAAUAGGGAACCGUUUUAAAUGAGACACGCAUUAAACACUCUUUGUUACAAAACUAAGACGUAGCAUAGUUUCCAUGCAUAGCAACCACAAUUACCUUCCAAAAUGCUUUUUCUUAGCAACAUGUGAGCUAUGCCUUUCCUGAUGUUUUAGAAUGGUGAAAGCAGCUCUAGAGGGGAGGUGACAACGAUCCCACUGUCCUCUGCGGCCCCCAGCAGGGUGUGCCUGGACUUUUGGAAUUCCGCCUGCUCCACAGGCACGUGCUGGGCUUGGGAGUUAUGAAUGAGGCUCUGAGCCACAACGCCCAUUAGUGUGUGCUAAUUUUUGUGUGCUAGUUGGUCUGUGGAUUUUCCCAGAGAGACAGGAACAAGUUUUCAGCAGAAUCUUAAAAGGUUUGAGAUGAAAAGGAGAAUCCAAAAGAAUCAUCUUCAGGCAUCAAUUCCUAGAGAAAGCUUUUGAGUUUGCAUGUUCUGUGUUAUGUCACCUAUGGUGACUCCUAGGAAGUCACCAGGCUAUGGUCAAAAUUCUUGCAUUUUGAUUCAAUGGCCAACCCCCCAUUCCUAAGAUAAACUGUUUCUCAAAAUAUGAUCUGCAGUUCAUAAGUCAUAUAGUCACCGGGGUCUGUGGUCAUGUGCAUGUGUGUUGGAAAGGUUGCUACGUAAAUGUUAACAGUGUUAUUUACCGGGGUCUGUGGUCACAUGUGUGUGUGUUGGAGGGGUUGCCAUGUAAAUGUUAACACUGUUAUUUACCGGGGUCUGUGGUCACGUGCGUGUGUGUUGGAGGGGUUGCCAUGUAAAUGCUAACAGUGUUAUUUACCGGGGUCUGUGGUCACAUGCAUGUGUGUUGGAGGGGUUGCCAUGUAAAUGUUAACACUGUUAUUAGCAUUUCUUGCAUCUCUCAGUAACUCACUUCACCACAGACCCCCUUAUUACAUUUUUCUUAUUCUGAGCAAACGUGCUGCGGGGACCCGAGACAGAAGGUCCAGCCUCCUGGAUGAUGCCUGCUCUCCAUCCUUGUGGGGUGCAGGCAUCUCUUUCCACUUCCCAGCUCACCUCCUGUCCUGCCCCUUUCUUCUGCACCAAGUGAAUUCUGCCACCUCUCCACGCCAUUGGGUCCCCUGCUCUGUUCCUGUGCCCCUGUACACUGCUCUGCCGGGGUGCCUCUGCCCCAUCCCUCCCCUCACACCUCUGCCUUGUCCCAGGUCAGCCGCUGAACAUCCCCAAAGCCUCAGCUCAGGAAGACCAACUCCAGGAAGGCCUCCUGGGCUGCCCCCCACUUCAGAUGGGGACCCACGUCUGUUCUUGCUGCCCUGAGGACACAGUGCGCUUGGUUCUCUCACAACAUGCCCUUGCAGAAUGACAGUUCUCUGUCCCUGGGUGUGCAGCCCCUCCAGCCUGGGAAUUCCUAAACAACAGGAGACAUGUCUCAUGCACCUGUAUCUCCAGUCCUUAGCACUGGCUAUAGUACAAAUGGGUGAUAAAUGUUUACUUUAUGAAGGAAUAAACAAAUGCAUGAAUAUUGACAGUACAGAAAGCAGCACAUUAGAAUUCAUUGUUUAAAUGGAGGGAAAAGGAGAGAAAGAAAAAGAAAAUAGGAAACUUUUCAACUUGUAAAAACUUGAUGAAUCCCCAGCACAGUGUCUGGCCUUCGGGUGCACAGUGACAUAAGGCACAUCUGCCCCUGCCCGGCUGCGGUUCCUGGGAUGGCACCUCUGUGGCAGAAGCCAGGCUGGACGGUGCCGUGAGGGGAGGUUUCCCAAGGAUGAUGGACAUCUGAGCAAUUUCUCCACAAAGAGACGUGAAGCUACAGGCAUGUGGCUUCUGCCAUCACCUGUUUUUCCUCCUGGGCAGAUGUUUAUUCUGGGGAGUUAGAGAGAGGUGACACUGUGUAUUUACGUCUGAGCUGCGGCCCCCCAGGGCCCCGACAUGAGACAUGGCACAGCUCUGGUCCCCCACGUGCCUUCUCACAGGCUCGCCCUCCGCGUGGGCCUCAGAACUCCCAGGAAAUUUAGAAAUUUAGUGACAUUGGCUGCAGCGGCUCCAUCUACUGGGACCCGAGAUUGAUUUUGCUUGGCUCGGCACACUUGGAUGCUUGGUUUUGGAGACAGGUCAAUGCCAUUAAUAGCUAGAGGACAUCCAGGUAGCAGCUUUUAGUGUGGCAAGAAUUAUUUUAUCUCGGCGAGCAAACUUCCCGAAGCCAUCCACAUUCUGCCGGACCUGCCAUCCUGGACCUGGGAGGGCACCUGCUCAGUAACUGCAGUUUCUUCUUCAUUAGGAGUGAGCCCUGUGGAUUCCAGUGAGCUCCAUCUGCCCCUUCCCCCUCCACGGUUGGAGAGGAGAGCCAGUGGAGAGGCAGGAAUCCAAGCAUCUCCCUGCUCCCCUGUGCCUGUUUCCCAGCAUCUGGGGACCCUGGGCCACCUGCAGCCUCGGUGCGGAGAUCCCAGGCUCAGCACCUGAGCCACACAUCCCCGGAGCUUGAGGCUCUGGGAGAGUGAGGGGUCCCUAAGGAGUGUCUCCCAGGUGCAGGUGUGGACCGGGUAGAAGUGACCACCCAGGUCCUAACACACCCCUCAAAUGCCCCGAACCACAGAUGGCUUUGUCUUGACUGCAGGCCCCUGACCUCCCGCUUCGUAGAGCAUCUACUUUAUAAAAACGUGUCCUUGCGGGGUUUCUCUAUGGUCAUCUCAGUCGUAAAUCUUCUGCCAGGCUCUUCCUAGCUGUGCGUGUCUCUGAGGGCCCGGUUCCCAUCCCUGUGAACACAGGCAUGGAGGGAGUGGGGCCCUGUGCCCAGUCUCUGAGGAAGGUGGGAGCUUCGCUGCUGUUCCAAGUUUUAAAACUACCCCCUGCCAUGAAGAUAAGAGAAUUUGCUCCUCCUCUGGAAAAGGCUGAUCAGCAAACGCAAAGCCCUGGGAGCCUCCCC